rnacentral:ncRNA from 1 species
ACUGUAAUAUAGCUUAUUGGUUCCAAUUGGGAACAGUCAUUGGAAGUAAUGGGGAAAGUUUGGUGAAAAUCCAACGCUGUCCCGCAACUGUAAUGAGACGAGCGACCCCGCAUGGCGCGAAAGACCCUAAAGAACUAGCUUUGCGUCGCACAAAGGAACGCGCGAGAUAUUCUCUACCAUCUCUAAGUCAGAAUGCCCGCCAAUAAAUAACUAAAUAAC